GAUGAACGCUAGCGGCAGGCUUAUACAUGCAAGUCGAGGGGCAGCACAGAUAGCAAUAUUGGGUGGCGACCGGCAAACGGGGCGGAACACGUACACAACCUUCCUUUCGGUGGGGGAUAGCCUUUGGAAACGGAGAUUAAACCCCAUAAAACAGGGACACUGCAUGGUGAUAUUGUUAAAGAUUUAUCGCCGGAAGAUGGUGUGCGUAUGAUUAGGUAGUUGGUAGGGUAACGGCCUACCAAGCCGACGAUCAUUAACGGGGUGAGAGCACGACCAGUCACACGGGCACUGAGACACGGGCCCGACUCCUACGGGAGCAGCAGUAAGGAAUAUUGGUCAAUGGACGGAAGUCUGAACCAGCCAUGCCGCGUGGAGGUGAAGGUCCUCUGGAUUGUAAACUUCUUUUAUAGGGGGCGAAAAAGGGUCUUUAUAGAUAACUGACGGUACCUUAUGAAUAAGCACCGGCUAACUCCGUGCCAGCAGCCGCGGUAAU
rnacentral:rRNA from 1 species